UACGUAGGGCGCAAGCGUUGUCCGGAAUUAUUGGGCGUAAAGAGCUCGUAGGCGGUUUGUCGCGUCUGCCGUGAAAACCCGAGGCUUAACCUCGGGCUGGCGGUGGAUACGGGCAGACUAGAGGUAGGUAGGGGAGAAUGGAAUUCCCGGUGUAGCGGUGAAAUGCGCAGAUAUCGGGAGGAACACCGGUGGCGAAGGCGGUUCUCUGGGCCUUACCUGACGCUGAGGAGCGAAAGCGUGGGGAGCGAAACAGG
rnacentral:rRNA from 1 species